UUUCAUUUUAAUAGAGUAAUUGGUGGUGUUGGCAGUCAUCGUGGGAGAAUUAUGGACAAAUUUUUAAAAAGAACUUCGAAUGUGUUGGGCGACGUGGAAAACGAAGAAAGCAAAGAAAUCUCCAUUUCGAAUAACAAGCGCAAGGAAAAAAUUUCAAUAGUUUGGAAUUAGUUUAAGAAGGGAACAAAUCAAACCGCGUCUUGUAUGCAAUGUGGAAAGGUCCUCAAAACGUCUGGAAUUACCAGCAAUUUGAUGCAGCAUUUGAGGACUGCACAUCCUAUAAGAGAGCAAGCAGAAAACAUUGCAGUUUCACCAUGCAUGAACAAAUUUCUUGAAAGUUCUAAGCAAUACUCAAAUGCCUCUGCUCGAAAAAUCGCUAUAGACAAAGCUGUAAUGAGGAUGAUAGCAUUGGAUGUGCAACCUUUUAGCAUUGUUACCGAUCGCGGAUUUGUUAAUUUAAUGAAGUGCGUGGAUCCUUUGUACAAGUUGCCAAGUAAGACACAUUUGCGUUAUCUUAAACAUUAAACGUUAUCUUAACGUUAUCUUAAACAAUGAGUAUGAGGCCUCAAAGGAAAAACUCAAAAAAUCAUUAGAGCAGGUAGAUCACGUUGGGAUUACAACGGACUGCUGGA